rnacentral:sRNA from 1 species
AAGAACCACCAACUGAAAGUCAGGAUCAUACGCCUGGUCAGAAGAGAGAAGAAGAUCAGGGUGCAGCUGAGAUUCAAGAGGAAGGGAAACCACAGCUUUAAACGAAGACAACCAAAAGAAUGCAAACUGGAUUUAUCAGAGAUAUUUGACUUUUAAAAAUCUCAAUAAAGUUUUCCAGUUUUCUCCAAA